UACGUAGGGUGCGAGCGUUGUCCGGAAUUAUUGGGCGUAAAGAGCGUGUAGGCGGCCUGACAAGUCUGCUGUGAAAACUCGAGGCUCAACCUCGAGAUGUCGGCGGAAACUGUCUGGCUAGAGUCCGGAAGAGGAGAGUGGAAUUCCUGGUGUAGCGGUGAAAUGCGCAGAUAUCAGGAAGAACACCUAUGGCGAAGGCAGCUCUCUGGGACGGUACUGACGCUGAGACGCGAAAGCGUGGGGAGCGAACAGG
rnacentral:rRNA from 1 species